GGAGCUGAGAGCUUCAGGGAGGAGCUGAUCUGUUCCUGAUCUCUAAAGAGACUCAAACUUCCUCCUUCAGUUCAGUUCAACUCUCCAACAUUAACUCUGCUCAACAUGGACUAUUAUGGUCUGUCUCUGCUCAUCAUCUCUCUGCUAACAGGAGUCAGAUGCCAACAACUCACUGCGCUUCAGAAAGAAGAGUUCGCUGUAGAAAGCAGCAAAGUUACUCUGUCCUACACUUACUCCAAAACAGCCACUGGAACUGAUUAUUUCUUCUGGUAUCGACAAUAUCCUGGAAAACCUCCAGAGUUCCUGAUCUCCCACACAGGAACAGGAACACAAACUUCUCAGCCGCUUCCUGGUUUCUCCUUCAACAUGAAUGCUGAUAAAACCCAGAUGGAUCUGCUGAUCUCCUCUGCUGCAGUGACAGACUCUGCUGUGUACUACUGCGCUGUGAAGCCCACAGUGACAGGAAACACCAGAACCCUGUACAAAAACCUGCAGUACUCCCCAGCAGCCACUAGAGGGCCUCACUCCCUGUUAAACCACAAACAGCCAACAUUUAAACCAUGAGGCUGUUUGUGAACAAGCAGCAGAUCACUUUUUAAAUGAUGACGAAGGCCAUAUGCUGAGCUGAGGAUGCUGCCUGGACCCCAUGAAGAGAUGCAGAGACUGUAGAUCUUUGGGAAACUCUGGACUGGCUUUGUUUCCUCCAGAUUGUGCUCCGGUCUGUAAAAUGGGCUUGUGUUUAAUAAAAAUGUUCUUUUUAUUCAUCUUA